UCAGGACGAACGCUGGCGGCGUGCCUUAGACAUGCAAGUCGAGCGAGAACUUCGGUUCUAGCGGCAAACGGCGCAGUAAUACGUAAGCAACGUGCCCCUAAGACUGGGACAGUCCGGGGAAACCCGGUUUAAUACCAGAUGUGGUCGCUUUCCUGCCUGGGAAAGCGAUUAAAGGAUUUCGGUCGCUUAGGGAGCGGCUUACGACCUAUCAGGUAGUUGGUGAGGUAACGGCUCACCAAGCCUACGACGGGUAGCGGGUCUGAGAGGAUGAUCCGCGCGAGUGGGACUGAGACACGGACCACACACCUACGGGUGGCAGCAGUUUGGAAUAUUGCACAAUGGGGGAAACCCUGAUGCAGCGACGCCGCGUGGGGGAUGACGGAUUUCGGUCUGUAAACCCCUUUUGCCAGGAAAGACUUAGGACGGUACCUGGCGAAUAAGCCCCGGCUAACUACGUGCCAGCAGCCGCGGUAAUACGUAUGGGGCAAGCGUUGUCCGGAUUUACUGGGCGUAAAGGGCGCGCAGGCGGCCUGUUAAGUGUGACGUGCAAUCUCCUGGCUCAACCAGGAAAUUGCUUUGCAUACUGGCAGGCUAGAGAAAGGCAGAGGUAGAUGGAAUUCCCGGUGUAGCGGUGACAUGCGUUGAUAUCGGGAGGAACACCAUUGGCGAAGGCAGGCUACUGGGCCUCUUCUGACGCU
rnacentral:rRNA from 1 species